GAUGAACGCUGGCGGCGUGCCUAAUACAUGCAAGUCGAGCGAACGGACGAGAAGCUUGCUUCUCUGAUGUUAGCGGCGGACGGGUGAGUAACACGUGGAUAACCUACCUAUAAGACUGGGAUAACUUCGGGAAACCGGAGCUAAUACCGGAUAAUAUUUUGAACCGCAUGGUUCAAAAGUUAAUGACGGUCUUUCUGUCACUUAUAGAUUUAUCCGCGCUGCAUUAGCUAGUUGGUAAGGUAACGGCUUACCAAGGCAACGAUGCAUAGCCGACCUGAGAGGGUGAGAGGGCACACAGGAACGGAGACAAGGAAAAGAGAACUACGGGAGGCAGCAGUAGGGAAUGGUACGCAAUGGGCGAAAGCAUGACGGAGCAACGCCGAGGGAGAGAUGAAGGACAAAGGAUCGUAAAACUCAGUUAUGAGGGAAGAACAUAUGUGUAAGUAACAGUGCACAGCGUGACGGUACCUAAACAGAAAGCAACGGCUAACUACGGG
rnacentral:rRNA from 1 species